UCUUCUCUUUCUUUCUCUCCUUUUCUCUUUCAACUGUCUGUCAUUAAUGUCCAGGUCUUACAAUGUACCAAUGGAGGAGAGGAAGAAAGCGAGGAAUGAGGGAUGAAUUGAUGGAUGGGAGGAUAAGCACUCUGUGUCCUUUCUUUAAAGAUUUGUUAUUGUACAGUACUGUCUCACAGUCAUUUUUGGUUGGUGUUUCAGCCUGAAAGCCCGUCCACGUGCUCUUUUGUAUGGGAAAGCAAUAAGGCCCCAUUGAAUGAAGCUGAAUGGACCUGCCAUCCUUAGGGGCUGAGGCCUGAGGACUCCUAUUCUUUAGCCCCCAAUCUAAUUGGAGCUGAAAUGAAAUGGAGGUUUCUUAUGAAAAUAGGCUUUGUUUGGCCGCAAGGCUGGUAAUUCAUAAACAAUAAGCAGGGCUCCAUUGUGUAGAUAAUAAUAUAUUCAUGCCGCUGGAGAUGGGGAGAAGGCAAAGCGAAGGCUGAGGAUAUAUAAGGAGGAUAGGCAGAGACAGCGAUGGAGAGUGGAGGGGAGGAGGAAAACCAGGGGCUAAUAGUAAACAGUGGGUCAAGGAAAAUUGGUAAUGGUUGGGUAGAGGCGAAGGAUUUAAUAGAGCAAGUGAAAGGACAUUAAGUGGGCAGGAGUGAGAAGUGAGUGCAAGUGAGGGAGGUAAAAAUGACAGGAACGGGCGAGAUGGACAAGAUAAGGAUGAGGCGAGAGGUGGUGGGCGGGAGAUUGGGAAAUGGCUACAGGUGACUGGUUUUGGAGGAAGCCAAGAGAGUAAAAGUAUCAUUAAAACUAGAGUGGCGGAAAGCUGAGAGAGAAGAGCGGUCAAGUGCAGGGAUAGAGGAGAGGAAACAGUGGCGUGAGGAGGAUGGUGUUACCGCUGAGGUUUGAAAUCUGUCAGGAAGGUUUUCACAGCCGGGGGAAAAAGGUAAAGGCUCCUUCUCUGUGGAGGUCAGUCAUUCUGAAAGUGGGGGAAGAGUUUUUUACUUACAAGGACUCAAGAAAACAGAGCUGGACAUGAGUGCUGUGUGGCGACGCAGGCUGGCAGAGGAGACCCCCCGCUUCCUGUAGUGGAUCCUUGCUGCUGUGACAUGUAAUAUCGGUCUGGGAAGGAGAUCUUUAUACCUGGAAAAUGCUCUGGAUACUACCUGAAAAUAUGGCUUCAAAUGAAAAUCUGCAGUGCAUUAGGGACAGAUGUUUGCAGCACUGGAGAAAAACUUGAAUUGAGGAGUAUAUUUUCAAAUGUUAGGAAUGCAAAGUGACCAUCCCCAGUGGAUGUGGAUCACACAGUGGAGACUGUGAUUUACAGAUAGCACCUUGUCCCUUCUCUCUACUGGCAGGCCAUCAUUGCAUCAAGUACCAGGAGAUGGGUGCAGUGAGCAGAAAAAAGGAGGACCUUUAAAGAAAUGUUAGAGACAGUCAGAGCCUAAGGUUUCCUCUAUUGACUCGUUACCCUGUGAUUGUCAACCAUAUAAACUCCUUAAUGACAUGAGCACUUCUUCCCAGUUGUCUAAUAUUUGCCGUAAAAGGG